CAUCGGUUAUGUUUUGUUUUCAUCUUUGCUUGGCUCUUGCUGGAGCAUUUGAGGGAUUCGUUGGAGUCACUGGUUUGUCCUGGCUGUUCCUGGGGAGCUACUCUUUGCUUGUGACCCCCUGAAAGCAGGCCUCUCAGAGUCCAUUUGUGCAGUGGUUGAUAGCAAGGUCUACAUAACCAUUUUCGGGAUAGGUUACAACAUCCAUUUAGAGAGUCACAAGUGUGUUUAUAAGUCUUUUUGUGAAGACUUGCUGUAUUUGGCUUUUACUGUGUGUGAUAUAGAAGACAAUAUAUUGUGAUUUCAUGUAAAUUGAACAAUAAUGAGGGGAAAAAUGGAUAUUGGUAACAUGGCAACUGUUUUCUAAUUCUGUUCCUCUUUGUAACUGGGAAAUCCUUUUUGUGCACUGUUUUAGUGUACUGUUUUAUUUUAGCUGUACUCAGACUAUAAUUCUCAAAUAUGUAUGGAUAGAAAACCAGUCAAUAUCAACUAUUUGCUCCACAUAGGUAUAAUCUGUAGUUUUCAUGUCUGUUUGUGUUUAUCAAUCAUAAGUGAUACUGAAUCAGUUUGAGACCAGUUUUGCCAAAUGUGUCAGUAGAAGUUUUGCUACUGACUUCAGUGGAAGAAGAAUGUAGCCAGCACUAAGUGGAAAGGCCAUUUUCCCUCUCUGGAGAUGUUUUGCAGGAUUACGUGAUCAUUUGGUUGAGCUGAGCUCUGGUGUAUGCAGGUCGCUUCAGGAUAUCUUCAUGCUUGUGACCAGAUGGAAAAUGUCUUUUGCAAUCAACAAAAAAACACGCAUUGAAGACAUUUCAAAUUUUUUUGACAUUUGUAAGUAAUUUGCUUUCUACAAAAUUUAAGUGUCCAGAAAUGAUUACAAAUACUUUGCAAUGUGAUUACUUUCAUGGUUCAGGAUAUGCAGUGUCAUAGAAACUCACUUUAUUUUGUUAUGCUCUGAAUCAGCUUGAAGUCAAUCUGUGGUAUGGAUAGCUUUACUGAUGCAUUAUUUGACUUCCAUGUGAAGUAACUUUGUGGUUGCUGAAUCCACUAAUGAAAAUCC
rnacentral:lncRNA from 7 species